rnacentral:rRNA from 1 species
UACGAAGGGGGCUAGCGUUGUUCGGAAUCACUGGGCGUAAAGCGCACGUAGGCGGACAUUUAAGUCAGGGGUGAAAGCCUGGAGCUCAACUCCAGAAUUGCCUUUGAUACUGGGUGUCUUGAGGCCGGUAGAGGUGAGUGGAACUGCUAGUGUAGAGGUGAAAUUCGUAGAUAUUAGCAAGAACACCAGUGGCGAAGGCGGCUCACUGGACCGGUACUGACGCUGAGGUGCGAAAGCGUGGGGAGCAAACAGG